CUUUUAUUUGGUAGCUCCCAAGUCCCUUUCCAAGCAACAGGAAGCAUCAAGCUUUUCCAGUUUUCCUCCACACAUGUGCUUGCAGAGCCCAAUCCAAGUGCCUCGAAUUGUAUAGACCUUGAAUGAUGCAUUUUUCAGAGCAAUAUUCUCAUUCAAGAGAGAGAGAGAGAGAGAGAGAGAGUAGACAGGAACACUUUUGAUCUGUAAGGCAGCUCCACAAAAAGGGCCAUCCCUUGGCAAAGGAGAUCUCAAGAUAAGGGGAGCAGAAAGAGGAGAGGGGAAGAUUAAGAGAACACACUCACAUGGAAAGGACAAAAAGCCUCCUGUCUCCCCUAGGGUUCUUUAAAGGUGUGCAAUGGUGGCCUCUCCUCCAGCACAGAGUCACAUGGAGAACAACUCCACUAGGUUUCAUCAGCUAAUGUUGUACUAGCAUUGAACCUUCUUACUCCACCCUAUCAUGAUGGCAAGCAAUGGAAAGAAGGUUAAACAAAAUGGUAAAAGGGAGAAAUCUGUGCACCCAAAUACAUGAGAAAGACAAUGCCUCCAGAUUUUAGUGUUCCUCACAUGGGUUGGACAUUUUUCAAAAGCUUUGAGUGAACUUUGAGUGCUGUCUCUCUGAUGAUGCUGAUUAAUCAAAUCAUGUAAGGCUACCUCACAACCAAAGAAUGGAGGGUUGGUGGAUGUCCUGCCCUCUCUGCUCCAAUACUUAGCCACCUCUACAAAGGAAGAAAUAGAGAGAGAGAGAGAGAGAGAGAGAGAAGGGAAAUGGUUUCUAUAAGCUCAGUUUUUCUUCUCUCUUUUUGACUUGUUCUGGGAGCUGAUUUCCAGAUUACAAAUUUGAUGGGAGUACUGCCAAAAAAAUGAUAAUUAUGUUGUAAUGAAAGCUUAGGAUGACUUUAUAACAUAACCAGAAGAUGGGAUCUGCUGAUACUUUGCUUUACAA